AUGGGAGAAGUCGCCGCCGAGCUGCUGUACGCCAUGGCGCCUCUGGCUCUCUCCAGCGGCGGCGCCGAGGUCGCCGGCAGCUGCGCGCCCCUGCUCGCGGAGCUCAGGCAACUGUGGGGGGAGAUAGGCAAGAGCCGGGAGGAGCGGGAGCGGAUGGUGCACGAGCUGGAGGCGGAGUGCACGCGGGUGUACCGCCGCAAGGUCGACGAGGCCACCGGCGAGCGCGCGCUGCUGCACCAGUCGCUCGCCGCCAGCGAGGCCGAGAUCGCCGCCCUCACCGCCGCCCUCGGCGCCGAAAACUCCACGCAGUUCAAGGUGAACAAAUGGACCGUGUCGCUGAACGAGCGGGUGUCAUCGGCGACGGCUCUGCUGGAGGAGCUGCGGGCGAUGAGAGCAGAACGGAGCAAGCAGUUCUCUGACAUCCGGUCGGAGAUCGAGAAGAUCAGCGCCGAAAUCGCAGGGCGGAGCCACGGCCAGGACACCUCCCCCAGGGCCGGCGACGGCCAUGACCUCACCAUCAGGAGGCUGGGCGAGUACAGGGCACGCCUGUCCACUCUUCAGAAAGAGAAGUCGGAGCGUCUGCACAAGGUCCUGGAGCACGUGACGGAGGUGCACUCGCUGUGCGACGUGCUGGGCGAGGACUUCAUCGCCAUCGUGAACGAGGUCCACCCGGGCCUGCACGAGGCCGACCCCGGCAAGCCCACCAGCAUCAGCGACACCACGCUCACCAGGCUCUCCCAGGUCGUCGCCAUGCUCACCUCCGAGAAGGCCAAGCGAGCAGCCAUGCUGCGGGAAGCCGUGGUGCCGCUGGUGGAGCUGUGGGACCUGAUGGACUCGCCGGUGGAGGAGCGGCGGGGCUUCCAGAAGGCGGCGGCCGUCCUGAGGCCCGCGAAAGAGGAGGUCCUGUCCUCCGGCGUGCUGUCCAUGGCGAGCAUCAAGAAGACGGAGGAGGAGGUGGAGAGGCUGACGAGGCUCAAGGCCGGCCGGAUGAAGGAGCUGGUGCUCAAGCGCAGGCUGGAGCUGGAGAACAUCUGCCGGAGCAUGCACGUCGAGCCCGACGCCAGCACCGUGCCCGAGAAGUCCAUCGCGCUCAUCGACUCCGGCCUCGUGAACCCUUCUGAGCUCAUGGCCAGCAUCGACGACCAGAUAGCCAAGGCCAAGGAGGAGCAUCAGUCGAGGAAGGACAUCAUGGAGAAGAUCAACAAGUGGCUGCUGGCCUGCGAGGAAGAGAAAUGGCUCGACGAACACAACGUGGAUGAGAACAGAUUCAGCACCGGCAGGACCGCACGUCUGAACCUGAAACGCGCCGAGAAAGCCAGGGUCAUCAUCAUGAAGAUUCCUGCUAUUGUUGAUAACCUGAUGAGUCGAACGCUGGCAUGGGAGAGCGAAAGGAAGAAGCCUUUUCUGUACGACGGGGCUCGCCUAGUGGCCGUGCUGGAAGAGCACAAGCAAGCCAGGCUGAGGCAGGAGGAGGAGAGGAGGCGACUCCGGGAGCAGAAGAAGCUGCGGACCCUGUUCAGCGAGAAGGAGACGAUGCCGCGCCUGAAGAGGCCCAGCGGCAGCGGUGGCUUCAGCAGGACGCCGGAGCCGAGCAGCAUGAACCGGAAGAGGGUCGACGCCGGCAGGCUCACGUGCUCCGCGCCGUCCAUGCGCAGCAGCAGCAGCGGCUCCAGCUGCGGCGGCGGCGGCGGUCGUUCCUCGGCCGAGCUCGACAGGCCGCGGUCGUCGGCCGCGGGGGCCGGGCGCUGCGGCGAGCUCCUGCAGGGCGCGCGGCGGCUGUCGGCGUCGUCGUCGUCGUUCAACUACGUCGCCGUGGCCAAGGCCGGCGGCAGCAUGUCUUCGUCGCUGGCGUCGCUGUCCUGA
rnacentral:rRNA from 1 species